UGAGAAUGCCGGUGUGAGUAGCGAAAGACGGGUGAGAAUCCCGUCCACCGAUUGACUAAGGUUUCCAGAGGAAGGCUCGUCCGCUCUGGGUUAGUCGGGUCCUAAGCUGAGGCCGACAGGCGUAGGCGAUGGAUAACAGGUUGAUAUUCCUGUACCACCUAUAAUCGUUUUAAUCGAUGGGGGGACGCAGUAGGAUAGGCGAAGCGUGCGAUUGGAUUGCACGUCUAAGCAGUAAGGCUGAGUAUUAGGCAAAUCCGGUACUCGUUAAGGCUGAGCUGUGAUGGGGAGAAGACAUUGUGUCUUCGAGUCGUUGAUUUCACACUGCCGAGAAAAGCCUCUAGAUAGAAAAUAGGUGCCCGUACCGCAAACCGACACAGGUAGUCAAGAUGAGAAUUCUAAGGUGAGCGAGCGAACUCUCGUUAAGGAACUCGGCAAAAUGACCCCGUAACUUCGGGAGAAGGGGUGCUCUUUAGGGUUAACGCCCAGAAGAGCCGCAGUGAAUAGGCCCAAGCGACUGUUUAUCAAAAACACAGGUCUCUGCUAAACCGUAAGGUGAUGUAUAGGGGCUGACGCCUGCCCGGUGCUGGAAGGUUAAGAGGAGUGGUUAGCUUCUGCGAAGCUACGAAUCGAAGCCCCAGUAAACGGCGGCCGUAACUAUAACGGUCCUAAGGUAGCGAAAUUCCUUGUCGGGUAAGUUCCGACCCGCACGAAAGGCGUAACGAUUUGGGCACUGUCUCAACGAGAGACUCGGUGAAAUCAUAGUACCUGUGAAGAUGCAGGUUACCCGCGACAGGACGGAAAGACCCCGUGGAGCUUUACUGUAGCCUGAUAUUGAAAUUCGGCACAGCUUGUACAGGAUAGGUAGGAGCCUUUGAAACGUGAGCGCUAGCUUACGUGGAGGCGCUGGUGGG
rnacentral:rRNA from 1 species